rnacentral:rRNA from 1 species
GACGAACGCUGGCGGCGUGCUUAACACAUGCAAGUCGAACGGAAAGGCCCUGCUUUUGUGGGGUGCUCGAGUGGCGAACGGGUGAGUAACACGUGAGUAACCUGCCCUUGACUUUGGGAUAACUUCAGGAAACUGGGGCUAAUACCGGAUAGGAGCUCCUGCUGCAUGGUGGGGGUUGGAAAGUUUCGGCGGUUGGGGAUGGACUCGCGGCUUAUCAGCUUGUUGGUGGGGUAGUGGCUUACCAAGGCUUUGACGGGUAGCCGGCCUGAGAGGGUGACCGGCCACAUUGGGACUGGGAAACGGCCCAGACCCCUACGGGGGGCAGGAGGGGGGAAUUUUGCAAAAGGGGGGGAAGCCUGAUGCAGAAACGCCGGGGGGGGGAUGACGGCCUUCGGGUUGUAAACCGCUUUCGCCUGUGACGAAGCGUGGGUGCCGGUAAUGGGGAAAGAAGCACCGGCUAACUACGU